AGUAGUUUGAUCAGUGGCUCGAGGACGAACGCUGGCGGCGUGCUUAACACAUGCAAGUCGAACGGGGUACUUGUACCUAGUGGCGAACGGGUGAGUAACGCGUAGAUAACCUGCCUUUAAGUUGGGGACAACAACUCGAAAGGGUUGCUAAUACCGAAUGUUGUUAAUUUGUCGCAUGACAGAUUAACUAAAGAUUUAUCGCUUAAAGAGGGGUCUGCGUCCGAUUAGGUAGUAGGUGGGGUAACGGCUUACCUAGCCGACGAUCGGUAACCGGUCUGAGAGGAUGAACGGUCACAUUGGGACUGAGACACGGCCCAGACUCC
rnacentral:rRNA from 1 species